GGGAGAAGUUCGUUACUGUUCUUUCCAGGCCAGCCAGCCAGCCAGCCGUGUGGUGUGGUGUGCGAGCGGAAGGAAGCGCAGCGCAGGCGAACCACGGAAAGUGCGGGAGGAAUAGAUUCAUUCUGCGCCGUCCACUCUUUUCUUUUCUUGGCCUCAUGAGCUGUUUCAGAUUCCGUCCGCCGCCCACACCGGCCACACGACGGAGUCAUGCUGGCAGCAGUUGCCUCUUGUUCUCCUUUUUUUUUCUUCUUCAGCUCCGUUGGGAGGGAACUGAGAAAUGAAACUGCGCG
rnacentral:lncRNA from 7 species